rnacentral:lncRNA from 1 species
GCAGAUCUGGGAGAGGAUCAAAAUCCCUAGCCGCAUCUCCAUUGCGACUAGGCCUGGCAUCUCCAUCUCCCUCACCCUCCUUCUCCACCUCCGGCUGCUGCCACGGCCAGGCCGGCGUGGUGGUGCGCCUCCCACCUCAUCACCCAUCUCCAUCCACCACUCCACCAUCACCUCCAUCCAUCAGCGCCAUGCCACCCAGCACCUCCACCAUGCACCACCAGCACCACUCCACUCCACCGCCGCAGCCAUCCAUCCAUCGCGCACCACCAGCUCCACCAGAGCCACUCCAUCCACCUCCCUCUGCCCUCUAGUCUCCUCUGUUCCUCCUCUCCAUGCCCCCGCUGCUGCUGCUCUCUUCUCCACAGAACUGCUGCUGCUCCCUUCUUCCCCCAAACUCUACUGAUGCAUCUUCUUCCCUGAACCCCAAACCCUACUGCUGCUGCUCUUCCCUUCUCUCAAUCUCAUGCUACUGCUCCAUCUCCCAAACGUUGUUACUGCUCUUUCUCUUCACUGAAACUCCUGUUGCUGCUCCUCCUCCCACACCCAAAUUGCUGCUGCUUCGCUUCUUUUCUGAACCCAAGUUGCUGCCGCUUCUCACGCCCCUGACAAGACACCAUCACAGGGGAGUCUGAUCCCCUGCGUGCCUCUCCUCUCUGUCUUGUUGCUACUGCUACUAUCUCUCUUUCUCCCUCUUUAUAGUCUCUGAAUUUUCUGUAGGGCAAGAUGUUUAAAACUUUGUAAUGUUCAGAUUCUAAGAGUACCUGCUUCCUGUACUAGUUAAUUCUACUUCUUGUUUUUUAGUUGUUUUUUAGUACUAUUCUGUUGAUCUGCGAGUACUAGUUUAGUGGCUUGUGUAAUUCCGUUUGUAUUGUCACUCGUGUAACCUGAACCUUGGUGUAGUACCUUGUGCCCGUAUGUGUGGUUAUGUAUGUACUAUAGCUCCUGCGUUUAACUAUGUCCAUGUGAAAAUAUAUAUGUUUGUGUUAUGAUAUAUAUUUGUCCCUGUCAUACAAUCUUGUUUCUUCUCUCUUUUGCAUGUUAAUAGUUAUAUGUGUUCAUGUCUUGUUGACUCCUGUUUGUCAUUGAUGUUUGUCUGUGUUAGUGUUUUAAUUUCUCAAGCAUUACGGAACUACCAAAAAGACAAUGAGUAAAAUCUGAGUCUCCCUGUGCUCUUUGUAUUUUCUUUGUCGAUGAUCAUUGGGAACAACCUUGUUUAGUGUAGGUUUAUUUUCUUGCUUUCAUAAUCUGAAUUGUGUUACCUAGCUUUAGCCAAGCACGAUCAUCGAUUUGCCUAGUCCCUGAGGAGAACACGACAUCCGUAGUUUGGGGCGUAAAAACCCCGCUAUACUUUCAAUUGAUCAUUUUGGCACCGUUGCCGGGGACUAGCGUCGAGUGACCGUGUUAGGCUAUAGACUAGAUUUACUUUAGUUCCUUGUUCAAUUCGUCGUGUAUUUCAUCUUCAGUAUUUUUCUUCUAUUUUCCCCCAUUGUUUCUUCGGCUUAUUAGGAUACUAACCUUCUGACUAGUGUUUACUGUUUAUGAGUGUGUGUAGGGAAUCAUAAAUCUUUGCAGGUUAUUCUAUAGUUACACUUGGUUAAGAUAUGGCAUUGCUUCGUGAUCUUUGGAUGCCAAGUAGUCAAUGUUAUAUCACAGGACCGGUUUGGCCAACUAUUGAGGUAGAGAAUUUUGAGAUGAAGCCUGGUCUUAUUGCUUUGGUUCAACAACAACAGUUUGGAGGACUGCCUACUGAGGAUCCUUAUGAGCACUUACACCGAGUCAUGGAGUAUUCAGAUACAGUCAAGUACCAUGGAGUUCCUCAAGAUGCAAUCAUGUGCAGGUUGUUCACAUUCUCCCUCCGCGAUGAUGCUCGUGCUUGGUAUCGAUCCUUGCCAUCAAGGUCAUACAGUUGGAAUGAGAUAUAGCGAGCUUUCUUGGUUAAAUAUUUCCCACUACACAAGCAGUCCGCAAUUCGAGAUGAGAUCUUCAAUUUCAUUCAGCGUGAAGGCGAGAGCUUGAAUGAUGCUUGGGAGAGAUACAAAGCCUUAUUCAGGAGAUGUCCUAAUCAUGGGCUCGAGAGAUGGUUAGAGUUGCAGAUAUUCUAUAGAGGAUUGACUUCGAACACUCGAGCUUAUGUCGAUAUGGCAGCGGGUGGAGCUAUUACAAACAAGACACUUGAUGAAGCUUUUCUGCUGAUUGAGAGCAUAGCUUUCCACCAACUUCAGUGGUACAAUAAGAAGCCCACGUCUGAUUCAUUGGUUUGCUUGCAACAAAUCACUACACCUCAACCACCAAUUCUUACACAAAAGCAUGAGCCUCUAUCUCAGUGUGACAAGAUUGAGCUUGCAUGGAUUAUCUUUGACAAUGAUGACACCAUUUUAGUUGACACACACGCUACAGAUCAUAUGGAUACUAGUGUUGGAGAUUCGGUUUUGCAUUGUGAUGAUUCUUCCAUGGAUGAGCCAGAGCUGCAGUUAGUUGUUUUUGAUAUUGAGGAGUCACCUUUAGUUGAUAUUGAUCAUGUGCUGCUAGAGCCAGAUAUGGAGAAGUUCACCUUUGAUGAUGUUAGCCGCAUUGCUUCCUCAACACUUGAGCCUGAGAUGGAGAGCUUCAUGGUUGAGUAUGGUGAGGUCGAUUCAGAUGUCAAGGAGCCAAGCUCUACUAUUUCACUUGUUGACACGAGUCCGGUUGAAAUUUCUACUACCACACCUCACUUGGUAUCUUCAAUUGAGAUAGUCCUGAAGCUUCUUCCUAACUAUCUUAGGCAUGAUCUCAGCUUUCUGGACAAGACAUGUCAUAUCGCUGAUAUUGCCUAUGCCCCAUGUGACUUGUUGCUGAUACAUGUUCCUGAUUUGAUCAAUAGAUAUACUUAUGUGAUAGGAUACUCUAUUGACGACUUAGAGGGCAUUGUCCCUAUCAUUUGUAUUGGCUUGUUUGUUGAGUGUUCUUUCAGGUUUACGCUUGUGCACCAUUCAUUUCAGGCUGACCAAGUUCGAGAUGACAUCCCAUGGGAUCCUGGUGGAUUCACGGCAUGGUGAUGAGGAGAAGCAAAGAGCACACAUGAGGAAGAGUGAAGCUGGAGCAGGCAUGAGGAUAGAGAAGUAAAAAGAGAAGAGCUGCAGCUUAGAGAGUGAUCAAGCGAGUGCUACAUGAUCAAAGCCCGGUGAGCUGUUUUGUGACCCAUUCUGAAUAUCAUAAAUACAUGCUGAAUUCAAUUGCUAGUUGGGUUGCUUGAGCUAGUUAUUACUUGUUGUCAAGCUGAAAUUCACCUUUGGCAUUGUGCUUGAUGUGAAUUUGUGAACUUGAUUUCUGAAUGCCUUGUAAACUAGUGAUCUACACCAUGCAUGCUUUGCUGAAAUUUGUGGAAGUUAUUAGUUUUGAGUGCUCAAAUCCCUAGUACACUAGAAAACUUGAUCAUUUUCUGCUUUUACCUUGAUACACCUAGAUCACCAUGUUUAGAUGCUUUGUGCUAAGUGUGUUCCCGUUGAGAGCAAUCACCUAACCACUAUGGAUUAGCAUGCUAUGUUCCCUGGAUCGGUAGCAUGUGAACCAGACAUGGAGAAGUGAUGAUUCCUGUUUUUGUGCUUAUGCGUUGUUCAUUUAAGAUAAGUAAUAUUUAAUAAAUAAGUCUGACUACCUACAGUAGCAUGUCAUGUUCCCGGGAUCGGUGGCAUGUGAAAUCGGGUUAGCUUGGGCAGUAAUUAAUAAUAAAAAAUGUAAUUGUCGAACUAGGUGUAUACCAUGUUCUCGGGAUCGGUGGUAUGUUCCUUUGGGGAGACAAACAAACUAAAAAAACUAAUAAUUGGUCGAGUCAGGUGUAUACCAUGUUCUCGGGAUCGGUGGUAUGUUCCUUUGGUGAGACUAAUAAAAUAUUAUCAUUACUUCCUUCAAAUUUAAUAAGUGGUUCAACCACAAUGUUAUAUUUCUGCAAAUAAGUGAUUUAAUUCAAGUUCCUUUUGUUCUCAGGAUCAUGCUCUCUUUAGGAACCUUUUGGCACAGUCAGCAUUUGAACUUGCUAAUCUUCGUUUAUCAUUGUAAAAGUUUAAAAUGGUCAUGCUUACUAGUUUUCUAUUGCUCCAUAGCACUCUUAACCAUUGAUUUUCACUAGUUAAGUCCAAAGCAUGCAUUGUUUAGAGAUCUACUUCACUUGGACAUUCUCUAGUCAGCUCACAAUUCACUAUCUAGUUCUUGUCAUAUUCCUUUGCUUGAGGAGAAGCAAAGAUUUAAGUGUGGGGGAACUUGAUAAGUGCAUUUCAUAUAUAUAAUUUGGCACUCAAAUUUAGCAUCUAUCGUGAUAUAUCCAUCCAUUCUUGCUAUGAGUUGUGAUAUAUUUGAAUGAAAAUCAUAUAAAAGAUCAUUUACUUGCCAUUUGUUUAUUUUGCAGAAAAGUGCGAUAAGGCACUAUAAUCUUGAAGAUCUUGUCUACAAAGAAAGAUGAUACAAGACCGAGGGCCAAUAGAAGAGAAGGGGGGACUCGAUUAUGAAGAAUUAAAGAAAUGGAGGGCCAAAACUAAAGAAGAAAGGGAUCUACUUGAGGCUAAAGAAGAGAAGAAGGAGGGCAAAAGUGCAAAAAUGCAGAUCUGGGAGAGGAUCAAAAUCCUUAGCCGCAUCUCCAUUGCGACUAGGCCUGACAUCUCCAUCUCCCUCACCCUCCUUCUCUACCUCCGGCCGCCGCCACGCCCAGGCCGGCGUGGUGGUGCGCCUCCCACCUCAUCACCCAUCUCCAUCCACCACUCCACCAUCACCUCCAUCCAUCAGCGCCGUGCCACCCAGCACCUCCACCACGCACCACUAGCACCACUCCACUCCGCCGCCGCAGCCAUCCAUCCAUCGCGCACCACCAGCUCCGCUAGAGCCACUCCAUCCACCUCCCUCUGCCCUCUAGUCUCCUCUGUUCCUCCUCUCCAUGCCCCCGCUGCUGCUGCUCUCUUCUCCACAGAACUGCUGCUGCUCCCUUCUUCCCCCAAACUCUACUGAUGCAUCUUCUUCCCUGAACCCCAAACCCUACUGCUGCUGCUCUUCCCUUCUCUCAAUCUCAUGCUGCUGCUCCAUCUCCCAAACGCUGUUACAGCUCUUUCUAUUCACUGAAACUCCUGUUGCUGCUCCUCCUCCCACACCCAAAUUGCUGCUGCUUCGGUUCUUUUUUGAACCCAAGUUGCUGCCGCUUCUCACGCCCCUGACAAGACACCAUCACAGGGGAGUUUGAUCCCCUGCGUGCCUCUCCUCUCUGUCUUGCUGCUGCUGCUACUAUCUCUCUUUCUCCCUCUUUAUAGUCUCUGAAUUUUUUGUAGGGCGAGAUGUUUAAAACUUUGUAAUGUUCAGAUUCUAAGAGUACCUGCUUCCUGUACUAGUUAAUUCUACUUCUUGUUUUUUUAGUUGUUUAUUAGUACUAUUCUGUUGAUCUGCGAGUACUAGUUUAGUGGCUUGUGUAAUUCCGUUUGUAUUGUCACUCGUGUAACCUGAACCUUGGUGUAGUACCUUGUGCCCGUAUGUGUGGUUAUGUAUGUACUGUAGCUCCUGCGUUUAACUAUGUCCAUGUGAAAAUAUAUAUGUUUGUGUUAUGAUAUAUAUUUGUCCCUAUCAUACAAUCUUGUUUCUUCUCUCUUUUGCAUGUCAAUAGUUAUAUGUGUUCAUGUCUUGUUGACUCCUGUUUGUCAUUGAUGUUUGUCUGUGUUAGUGUUUUAAUUUCUCAAGCAUU